rnacentral:rRNA from 1 species
AGAACGUCGCGAGACAGUUCGGUCUCUAUCUAUUGCGGGCGUUAGAAAUUUGAAGGGAGCUGACUUUAGUACGAGAGGACCGAGUCGGACAAACCUCUAGUGCACCUGUUGUGGCGCCAGCUGCAUCGCAGGGUAGCUAUGUUUGGAUUAGAUAAGCGCUGAAAGCAUAUAAGCGCGAAACUCGCCCUAAGAUGAGAUUUCUUUUAAGGGUCGUUCGAGAUCAGGACGUUGAUAGGCU